UAUCUCUGUAGAGUCUGCAUAUCAAUAAGCGGAGGAAAAGAAACUAACUAGGAUUCCCUCAGUAACGGCGAGUGAAGCGGGAAGAGCUCAAAUUUGAAAUCUUCAAGGUUCUACCUUGACGAAUUGUAGUUUAAAGAAGUGUUUUCUGUUGGAGUUUUGGUAAAAGUUCUUUGGAAUAGGACAUCAUAGAGGGUGAGAAUCCCGUAUUUGACCAUUAUUUCCAGCUUUGUGAUACACUUUCAAAGAGUCGGAUUGUUUGGGAAUGCAGUCCAAAAUGGGUGGUAAAUUUCAUCUAAAGCUAAAUACUGGCGAGAGACCGAUAGCGAACAAGUACCGUGAGGGAAAGAUGAAAAGAACUUUGAAAAGAGAGUUAAACGGUACGUGAAAUUGUCAAAAGGGAAGCGUUUGACACCAGUGUUGUUUUCUCGAAAAUCAAUUAAAUAAGGCAGGAUUUUGUGUUGUAUUGACUUUAUCAGCUUUCUGCACUCUUUUCUUGUCUUUUUUAAUGCACUUUUCGUUUAACAAGUCAACAUCAAUUUCUUUUGUUGUAAAAGGGUCAUUGGAAGGUGGCUUUCUUUUCGGAGAAAGUGUUUAUAGCCUUUGGCCUCUGCAAUCGGAGAGAUUGAGGUCUGCAGCGUAGAUCCUUCGGGGUUAGAUACAUUUGUGCUAAGUUAUAGCCUUUCAUAGACAACUUGUUGACUAUGAUCAGUCAUGUAGCUUACUCGCUUAUGCUAUUUUACCUACGCUUAGGAUGUUGACGAUCAGCUGAGCGCG
rnacentral:rRNA from 1 species